rfam:Takifugu rubripes chromosome, Chr_1
GUGGGCUAUGGUGAUAUGCACCCAGAGACUGUGUGGGGUAAGCUGGUGGGCUCGAUGUGCGCCAUUGCUGGUGUGCUUACCAUCUCCCUUCCAGUGCCCGUCAUUGUGUCCAAC